UACGUAGGGGGCAAGCGUUGUCCGGAUUUAUUGGGCGUAAAGAGCGUGUAGGCGGCUAGGUAGGUCCGUUGUGAAAACUCGAGGCUCAACCUCGAGACGUCGAUGGAAACCAUCUAGCUAGAGUCCGGAAGAGGAGAGUGGAAUUCCUGGUGUAGCGGUGAAAUGCGCAGAUAUCAGGAAGAACACCCGUGGCGAAGGCGGCUCUCUGGUACGUGACUGACGCUGAGACGCGAAAGCGUGGGGAGCAAACGGG
rnacentral:rRNA from 1 species